GAAUGAGGUGAUGAUUAGGUUAAUUUCCCUAUUGGUUUGAUCGCCGAAAUGAUGGCUAAAAUGUAUUAGCUCUAACUGAUCAUUC
rfam:Macleaya cordata isolate BLH2017 scaffold7399, whole genome shotgun sequence.